rnacentral:rRNA from 1 species
GACGAACGCUGGCGGCGUGCCUAAUACAUGCAAGUAGAACGCUGAAGGAGGAGCUUGCUUCUCUGGAUGAGUUGCGAACGGGUGAGUAACGCGUAGGUAACCUGCCUGGUAGCGGGGGAUAACUAUUGGAAACGAUAGCUAAUACCGCAUAAUAGUAGAUGUUGCAUGACAUUUGCUUAAAAGGUGCAAUUGCAUCACUACCAGAUGGACCUGCGUUGUAUUAGCUAGUUGGUGGGGUAACGGCUCACCAAGGCGACGAUACAUAGCCGACCUGAGAGGGUGAUCGGCCAAACUGGGACUGAGACACGGCCCAGACUCCUACGGGAGGCAGCAGUAGGGAAUCUUCGGCAAUGGACGGAAGUCUGACCGAGCAACGCCGCGUGAGUGAAGAAGGUUUUCGGAUCGUAAAGCUCUGUUGUAAGAGAAGAACGAGUGUGAGAGUGGAAAGUUCACACUGUGACGGUAUCUUACCAGAAAGGGACGGCUAACUACGUG